CUGGAGCGGCGGGCGUGCGGGUCGGAAGAUCCGAGCAGGGCUUCCCCGAACGGGGCCGUCUGACUGCACGCAUCCCUCUUCGCCCGACGCAUUUGUCUCCCGCCCGAAGGACGCCGCAGCCGGUUGGGCAGCUGCAAGCGCGACGGCCAGAAGGGCGGACGAUGGCAGGUGGCCGGUGGCAGGCUUCGUGCCCGUCGCCGGUUGUUAGCCGGUCCGCCAGUGGCUCGUCGCCCGACCGAGGUGUCACGAGGCCCUUCGGGGCCCCCACGUCUCCUCYUUACGGAUGUCGGGACUGGGCGUCGCAGGUGAGUUCCGCCGUCGGUUCGCACUCCCGAGAGUGGAACCGCGAAAGGAGCGCUCCGUUGGUGAUGCCGGACCCGUCGGAGGCCGGAGGCUGGCGGCGAGUAGGUCGGUCACCCACCCGACCCGUCUUGAAACACGGACCAAGGAGUCUAACAUGUGCGCGAGUCAGUGGGUCUUGAAUAGGCCCACGGGCGCAAUGAAAGCAAAGGUCGUCCCAGCGGCGACCGAGUUGGGAUCCCUCCAACGAAUGGAGGGCGCACCAACGACCCGUCCUAUUCGCUUCGCCGAUUGGGCGGAGUGUGAGCGCACACGUUGGGACCCGAAAGAUGGUGAACUAUGCCCAGACAGGAUGAAGCCAGAGGAAACUCUGGUGGAGGUCCGCUAACGGUUCUGACGUGCAAAUCGAUCGCCAGAUCC
rnacentral:rRNA from 1 species